rnacentral:snRNA from 11 species
AUCCGAGUGCAAGGGCGUUAUCCAUCUCCGUGAAGCGAUUAGCUGAGAGUGGAUUUUUGCUAGUUGAAAACUAUACACUGACCGCUCCUACUUGGGUUCGCCUGGGUAGGGAAUUUUUGGAACACUUUUCCUUUGGAAUCUUUUCUUUCAUUACGU